AUGCAUCGCCACGUCCCAGCGAGAGCAGUCAUCAUGGCUCAAGGAGGAGGAGGGCCGCCGGAGAAGAACGCUAGGAGCGCCGGAACCGCCGCCGGCCGGCAAGCUCGUGCAGCAGCUGGUGGAGGGCGCGCCGGGUGGGGUCCCGGGGAGGAGAGGCGCAACAAGGACGGCGCGCCCGCCGCGAGGAAGCCGGCUGGGGAGCAGCACAACGGCUGGGAAGGGCCCCGGUCCAAUUGGAGGCAGACCGGGACGACGAGCCACGAGCCGGGACGAGGCCACUCGCGGCAGCAGCAAGCUGAGGAAGAGCCGCCGGGAGCCGCCGUGGGAGGCCGGCUCCGCCGGUGGGGGCUACUGGCGCCGCCAGGGACGGAUCUGGGGGAUGUGGCGGGUCAGGAGGCCCGCUGA
rnacentral:rRNA from 1 species